AUACGGAGGAUCCGAGCGUUAUCCGGAUUUAUUGGGUUUAAAGGGUGCGCAGGCGGCCAUUUAAGUCAGCGGUUAAAUCGUGGGGCUCAACCCCAUUCUGCCGUUGAUACUGGGUGGCUUGAUUGCGGUCGAGGUUGGCGGAAUUCGUUGUGUAGCGGUGAAAUGCAUAGAUAUGACGAAGAACACCGAUUGCGUAGGCAGCUGACCAGACCGCAAAUGACGCUCAUGCACGAAAGUGCGGGGAUCGGACAGGAUUAGAUACCCUGGUAGUCCGCACAGUAAACGAUGAAUACUUGUUUUCGGCGAUAUAAUGUCGGAGGCAAAGCGAAAGCGAUAAGUAUUCCACCUGGGGAGUACGCCGGCAACGGUGAAACUUAAAGGAAUUGGCGGGG
rnacentral:rRNA from 1 species